rnacentral:rRNA from 1 species
GCAAGUCGAACGAGUUCUCGUUGAUGAUCGGUGCUUGCACCGAGAUUCAACAUGGAACGAGUGGCGGACGGGUGAGUAACACGUGGGUAACCUGCCCUUAAGUGGGGGAUAACAUUUGGAAACAGAUGCUAAUACCGCAUAGAUCCAAGAACCGCAUGGUUCUUGGCUGAAAGAUGGCGUAAGCUAUCGCUUUUGGAUGGACCCGCGGCGUAUUAGCUAGUUGGUGAGGUAAUGGCUCACCAAGGCGAUGAUACGUAGCCGAACUGAGAGGUUGAUCGGCCACAUUGGGACUGAGACACGGCCCAAACUCCUACGGGAGGCAGCAGUAGGGAAUCUUCCACAAUGGACGCAAGUCUGAUGGAGCAACGCCGCGUGAGUGAAGAAGGCUUUCGGGUCGUAAAACUCUGUUGUUGGAGAAGAAUGGUCGGCAGAGUAACUGUUGUCGGCGUGACGGUAUCCAACCAGAAAGCCACGGCUAACUACGUGCCAGCAGCCGCGGUAAUACGUAGGUGGCAAGCGUUAUCCGGAUUUAUUGGGCGUAAAGCGAGCGCAGGCGGUUUUUUAAGUCUGAUGUGAAAGCCCUCGGCUUAACCGAGGAAGCGCAUCGGAAACUGGGAAACUUGAGUGCAGAAGAGGACAGUGGAACUCCAUGUGUAGCGGUGAAAUGCGUAGAUAU